UACAGAGGGUGAGAGCGUUAAUCGGAAUUACUGGGCGUAAAGCGCGCGUAGGCGGCUUUGCAAGUCGGGUGUGAAAUCCCCAGGCUUAACCUGGGAACUGCAUUCGAGACUGCAUUGCUAGAGUAUGGGAGAGGGAAGUGGAAUUUCCGGUGUAGCGGUGAAAUGCAUAGAUAUCGGAAGGAACAUCAGUGGCGAAAGCGACUUCCUGGACCAAUACUGACGCUCAUGUGCGAAAGCGUGGGGAGCAAACAGG
rnacentral:rRNA from 1 species